rnacentral:lncRNA from 1 species
AGCUGACCCCCUCACACUCCCUUCACCCGCAAACCCACGCAUUUCCCUGCUUCAUACCCCACUGAGCUCCUGUGUGUGAGAGUGUGUUUACAGCAUCUGCGCCGCAGGACAGGCGGCUCGUAUCAGUGCGCGCGGAUCUACUUUCUCACGCGGAAGAGUCCCGCUGCGCUCCGAGAAGAAGAAGUCCGAGACGCAGAGGUUCACGAGCAUUCACCGAAUAACCGCGUCUAACGGGACACACACACAACUCUUCAUCUGCGCCCCCUCCUCCUCAUCUUCCUCCUCUCCUCUCCGUGAGAAUGGCGCAGAUUUUGCCGAUCCGCUUCCAGGAGCAUCUGCAGUAGGAGAUCAGUAAGCGGAAGAGACCGAGACAGAGUCUGCUUCAUCUCAUUCUGCUCGGAGACGGAUCAUCAUCAUCAUCAUCAUCAUCAUCAUCGUCAUAGACGAGCCCAUGGGAAAUGAGUUUACCUCCUCAUUAGUGUGUGUGUGUGUGACUGGACAUCUGGA